CUUGAAUGCUAUUCUCCUCCUUUCUAGAAAUGCAUUGAUGUAAUAACACUGUCCACCUUAAGGCAACAAGGUACCUACAUACAAAAAUGAUUCCUUAUGUUGGUAUAACACCUGUAACAUUUCAAAGCUUUCUCAUGAUAGUAUUUAAUGUCUUAUAGCUGUAUUAUAGUAGAAAGUCACAGUUUUUAUUGUUCAGCACUAAGAAACUAAAUUGUGUGUACAUUCUUUUUAUCUUUCAUGAUGACAGGUAUUCUAUUGCUCAACCAAGAGAUUUAAUUGGAAAAUAAGAAAUUCCUGGAAUACACUACUUGCCUAAAGCUUUUUCCAUCUAGAGUCAGUGCUUGAGGCUCAAAGCUCUGUUGCUACCUAGAAGCCUCCAUCUCUUUUUCUGCCUUGACAUAGAGGUUCAUCUUCAACUGUGAAUUCUUUGGGUAGCUCCUCUUGUCACCGAGCCUAAUGACUGAUGGCAAAUAAACAGCAGAAAUAGCCUGUCUGUGCUGAGGUUCUGAUAGGUUGUGAUUACAGGCACGUGGAAAAGUGGAGACACAAGGAAUGGCAGGAUAAUUGAUGUGAAGUGCUGCCCAGAAGCUGAGGGAUGAAUAACUCCACCUUCACACAUCUUUUCAGGCCCUUCAGUUCUAUGAUUUGUGCAUUAUAUUAUUUAGCAGAAAUAAUAAAGAACUAAAUAUGCUUUUUUUAUAUGUGGCAUUAACUACCUUUGUGUAUUAAUGUGGUACCUGCCAAUUACUUGCAUUAAAGCAAAUGGCUAAAAUAUACAAAUUAAGUUAUGAACACACAGCUACAUUUAACAGAUUAACUGAAAACCUG